rnacentral:lncRNA from 1 species
CACUGACAUUUGCUUCACUGAUUUUCUUCUGACGACCCACCUCUCUACAUCUAAUUUCAGAUCAUGUGGCUGAAGCCUCACUCUGGUGCUAAAGGUUGAGCCAGCGACUGUGGCCGAAGGCAACCACUCCCUCCAUGGUCAGGAGAUGGUUGCAGCAGUUCUGGCUAACACAGUCUCACACAACUGUCCAGAGUAUGAAGGCCUCUGGUUCUAUUCAGCUGCCUCCUCUUUCGCAUCUGGGACAGGCAGCCCUCAGUAUUGCUCAGGAGGGGAAAAGGAAAGAGAGACGAACAAGGCACAUCGGCUCUGAAAUGCCUCAGCCUGGAAGUGAUGCAAGUUACCUUCUCCCAGAGGUGAUUGGCCAGAGCUAGUCACAUGACCUCCACCUAAAUGCAAAAGAAGCUGAGAGAUGUUGGGAGCACAUGGGUAAUUAGCAAACCCUGACCAUCUCUGCUAAAGCACCCAACUAA